GGGAUGGACACGGACUCCCUGCCCCAAGCGCGCUACCUAGCGGGCCUCGCGCCCUCACCUGGCCGCGGAGGUAAGGGCCCUUCAUUUCCCAGCCCCUCUGCAAAGCCCGCAUUGGCAGAGGUGCGCCCUUCAUCACGUUCUGCCUUUGUUCCGGCGUCGGGGCUGCUCCCCGGGCGCUGCCCCUUAGCCGGGGGAGCGGCGUGAUUAAUGCACCGGCUCCGGGCCGGCCCCCAGGACCCCCCCCCCCCCCCCCCNNNNAGGGCGCGCGCUCUCGCCGCCGUGGCUGCGCCUUUAACCAACCGCCUUGGCCGCUCCGCCCGCGCCGCCGCCCGCAGCUGGGCCUCCCGGCGGCCUGGCCGACCGCGUCCUGCGCCCUGGGACCGGGCAGGGUGCGUUCAUUACUCAUCUGUGACAACAGCCCAUCGAGUAAGAUGUAGAACUCAAUUCCAGCCGAGAGACCUAUAAUAUCGGAGUCAGGAGGUUAUCGCUGGGGGACCUGCACCUUGCUCCCGGCCUCUCUUAUCGAGAGCUUUACAGCCUCUGCUGGGGCCAGCAUCUUGUGCAGCUGAGGGCGGCAGAUCUGGCCUCAGAUUAGCAUACAUCUUCCUAAGUGGUACUGCAUUUAAUUAAAAAGGAAGGAAAGGCCGCGUCCUGACCGCUUGUGCCGCAGCCCUCCCAGCAGAGGCGAUCUCUCAGGGGUGCGGGGGCGUCCUCUCCCGCACCGCCCCCGGCCCGGCCCGGACCUGCCGGGCACACCUGGUGCUCACGUCGGACCUGCCGGGCGCACCUGGCGCUCACGUCGGACCUGCCGGACGCACCUGGCGCUCAGUCGGACCAGCGGGCACACCUGGUGCUCACGUCGGACCUGCCGGACGCACCUGGCGCUCACGUCGGACCUGCCGGACGCACCUGGCACUCAGUCGGACCAGCGGGCACACCCGGUGCUCACGUCGGACCUGCCGGGCGCACCUGGCGCUCACGUCGGACCUGCCGGAUGCACCUGGCGCUCAGUCGGACCUGCCGGGCGCACCUGGCGCUCACGUCGGACCUGCCGGAUGCACCUGGCGCUCACGUCGGACCAGCGGGCACACCUGGCGCUCACGUCGGACCAGCGGGCACACCUGGCACUCAUGUCGGACCUGCCGGGCGCACCUGGCGCUCACGUCGGACCAGCGGGCACACCUGGAGCUCACGUAGGCGACAACGUUUUUGCAGCUGUGCUGUCAAGCCCCAUCUCUUCCGUUCUGGCCAUUUCUGGUUUCCCUUUGAGGAGUGAUGUGUUUGAGCUUCUCGCUUUGACGUUGUCAUGUGUAGGUCACUAA
rnacentral:lncRNA from 1 species